GACGAACGCUGGCGACGUGCUUAACACAUGCAAGUCGAACGGAAAGGCCCUGCUUUUGUGGGGUGCUCGAGUGGCGAACGGGUGAGUAACACGUGAGUAACCUGCCCUUGACUUUGGGAUAACUUCAGGAAACUGGGGCUAAUACCGGAUAGGAGCUCCUGCUGCAUGGUGGGGGUUGGAAAGUUUCGGCGGUUGGGGAUGGACUCGCGGCUUAUCAGCUUGUUGGUGGGGUAGUGGCUUACUAAGGCUUUGACGGGUAGCCGGCCUGAGAGGGUGACCGGCCACAUUGGGACUGAGAUACGGCCCAGACUCCUACGGGAGGCAGCAGUGGGGAAUAUUGCACAAUGGGCGGAAGCCUGAUGCAGCAACGCCGCGUGCGGGAUGACGGCCUUCGGGUUGUAAACCGCUUUCGCCUGUGACGAAGCGUGAGUGACGGUAAUGGGUAAAGAAGCACCGGCUAACUACGUG
rnacentral:rRNA from 1 species